GAUUAGAUACCCUGGUAGUCCACGCCGUAAACGAUGUCGACUUGGAGGUUGUUCCCUUGAGGAGUGGCUUCCGGAGCUAACGCGUUAAGUCGACCGCCUGGGGAGUACGGCCGCAAGGUUAAAACUCAAAUGAAUUGACGGGGGCCCGCACAAGCGGUGGAGCAUGUGGUUUAAUUCGAUGCAACGCGAAGAACCUUACCUACUCUUGACAUCCACGGAAUUCGGCAGAGAUGCCUUAGUGCCUUCGGGAACCGUGAGACAGGUGCUGCAUGGCUGUCGUCAGCUCGUGUUGUGAAAUGUUGGGUUAAGUCCCGCAACGAGCGCAACCCUUAUCCUUUGUUGCCAGCGAUUCGGUCGGGAACUCAAAGGAGACUGCCGGUGAUAAACCGGAGGAAGGUGGGGAUGACGUCAAGUCAUCAUGGCCCUUACGAGUAGGGCUACACACGUGCUACAAUGGCGCAUACAAAGAGAAGCGACCUCGCGAGAGCAAGCGGACCUCAUAAAGUGCGUCGUAGUCCGGAUCGGAGUCUGCAACUCGACUCCGUGAAGUCGGAAUCGCUAGUAAUCGUGGAUCAGAAUGCCACGGUGAAUACGUUCCCGGGCCUUGUACACACCGCCCGUCACACCAUGGGAGUGGGUUGCAAAAGAAGUAGGUAGCUUAACCUCCGGGAGGGCGCUUACCACUUUGUGAUUCAUGACUGGGGUGAAGUCGUAACAAGG
rnacentral:rRNA from 1 species